rnacentral:misc_RNA from 1 species
UGAUUAUAAUUUAUCUCGUAUCAUUUCUAAAUCUUAGAGAAGACGUUGAGGAUAAAUAACGUAGUUGAAGUUGAAAUUAAUGGUAACGUAAGACAAAAAUGACUACGGUAUAACUGCGGUAGCGAUUGUUUUUUUAAAUGAAACUCAUAUUCAAAUGGGACAAGGAAAAAUAGGAAAUAAGAGUUAAGCUUAAUGAUUCUAUGACAACCGAAAGUAGAAAAUUAUCAAAAUACAAAUAGUUAGGCAAUAAAAAUAUCCACAUUAGAUAACGUAAAAGAUUGUAAGUUGCAGUAGGAAACAUGAAAUAUCCCAUUUUCAAUAUUGCGUCAUAUGCGCAGCAAACAGAGAUUAAUGUUUCGACAAUACCAGAAGUGAAUAUUUUUUACUCUAUUUCAAUAGUCUACAAUGUUGUUCAUCUCGAAGAAGAAUUAAGGUCGUAACCUAGCACACGUCAAGCCAGGACGGUCGUUCUCCCGGCAACUAUUCCGGAUUGUCUCCUCCUACCUUGGGACUCUACGAGAUACGAUGCAGAGGAGGAAAAGGACAAACUUGGGGAAAAGGGUGUAGGGAUGCGCACGACAUUUAUAACUCACU